rnacentral:snRNA from 1 species
GUGCUCACUUGGGCAGCACAUAAACUAAAAUUAGAAUGAUAUAGAGAAGAUUAGCACAGCCCCUGCACAAGGUCAUGAAGCAUUCCAUUUUUUA